GGAGGGCAAGUCUGGUGCCAGCAGCCGCGGUAAUUCCAGCUCCAAUAGCGUAUAUUAAAGUUGUUGCGGUUAAAAAGCUCGUAGUUGGUUCUGCGUGCCGCGCUGUCGGUUCGCCGCCUGUCGGUGUAACUGGCAUGUCGCGGCAUGUCCUGUCGGUGGUGAACGGAGUCCACAAUGCUACAUAGGCUUUAGAGCCGAUGUUAGCGUUGUGUGCACUUCCGUUGGCCGAUCUCUCCUACUUCGGUGCUCUUAAACGAGUGUCGAGGUAGGCCGACACGUUCACUUUGAACAAAUUAGAGUGCUUAAAGCAGGCUGAAAUAUCUGCCUGAAUAGUGGUGCAUGGAAUGAUAAAACAGGACCUCGGUUCUAUUUUGUUGGUUUUAGGAAUAUGAGGUAAUGAUCAAUGUGGACUGGCGGGGGCAUUCGUAUUGCGACGUUAGAGGUGAAAUUCUUGGAUCGUCGCAAGACGCACUAGAGCGAAAGCAUUUGCCAAGUAUGUCUUAAUUGAUCAAGAACGAAAGUUAGAGGUUCGAAGGCGAUCAGAUACCGCCCUAGUUCUAACCAUAAACGAUGCCAGCCAGCGAUCCGCCGAUGUUCCUUUAAUGACUCGGCGGGGAGCUUCCACCCGGGAAACCAAAGCUUUUGGGUUCCGGGGGAAGUAUGGUUGCAAA
rnacentral:rRNA from 1 species